rnacentral:rRNA from 1 species
GACGAACGCUGGCGGCGUGCUUAACACAUGCAAGUCGAACGAAGUGGCGAACGGGUGAGUAAUACGUGGGUAACCUGCCCUCCUUUUUGGGAUAAGCCUUGGAAACGGGGUCUAAUACCGAAUAAAGGGGGUUGGGCUCGCGGCGUAUCAGCUUGUUGGUGGGGUGAUGGCCUACCAAGGCGGUGACGGGUAGCCGGGCUGAGAGGGUAACCGGCCACAUAGGGACGGAGAUACGGCCCAGAAUCUUAAGGGAGGCAGCAUUGGGGGAUAUUGCACAAUGGGUGAAAGCCUGAUGCAGCGACGCCGCGUGGGGGAUGAAGGCUGUCGGGUUGUAAACCUCUAGCGCUAUAGAAAGGGUAGGUGGAGAAGAAGCGCCGGCUAACUACGUGCCAGCAGCCGCGGUAAUAC